ensembl:lncRNA
ACAAAAGUUCAAUACAUAUGUUAACAAUACUUGUGUUCUAAUACUUAUGUUGAUAACUGUAUAACUAGAUCUUUCUUAGUGUAACCCAGUAGAAUAAUAUUCUACAGGUAAUGAGUUUACUGCUUUAUAUAUUGAUAUAUAAAUAAAUGUGUAUGCUUUUAAGAACGCGAGCAUAUAUCAAGUUAGAUUGUUUUACACACGUAGUUUUAACCUACAAGUUAGGUCUUUCUUUAUUUUAUUGGUUCAAGAGAGUUAAGUCCCGCCCGCGCCUAUGUCUUCUGUUUUUUGAGUGGUUGUUGAGGGGGGGUGAUUGACAAGGCGGGGAGGCGAUAUGCAGGCGAUGAGAGAGACGCGCUGUAUGCGAAAAUAGAGUUGUGAAUGAUUUACGAGUUUUACAAGUUUAAAAUAUUGAACUGUAAUAUUGAUCGCGUGUGAAACACGAUUCAUGUUUAUUAGUGUUUAUUGUGAGUUCGCUGUGAGUGUUUAUACGACAUUCCGUUAUCUUUAAUCGUCAGUCACGCGCACGGACUGUUCGUUAAUAUCCAGUAACAGUUACACGUCAUUCAUCUGAACCGGACUGUUAAAUUAGCGGAACAUUUACACAGAACCGAUUGAUCCGUGAAGCAGUGUUGUUUCCUGCACGACGCAGGGGAAAUUGAGGACCAGAUAGCGCCCCAAAUACCCGCGAUAUUUGGGGUUCCUCUGGCUGCGUGGGAGGAGCGUUUCCUCGGCGGGCGAGAGAGCAAGACCGAGGAGCUGCGGGAGGCCUAAUACAGGAGUCCAGGAUCGCGGUUUGCUUCACACAUCAAAUUGAGGUACCAGUACCAGUGUUGAUUUUGUUUGUGCUCAGGAGAGUGAAGGGGCCAUUUGUCAGUUUCCCGGCCACCACGAACACAAGCUACGAUCCAGGCCUGCAACGGUGUGUGUGUAUGUUUAUGUUUGUGUAUGUGGGCCCACAAAGUUUAAUUUUCUUUCAUAUUGUGUUUAUUCAGCGUGCUUAUUAACUGUGAAUAUUCCAAGUGAUUUCUGACAUCCAGAGUGAAUAAGUUUGUACAUUUCAUUUCAAGUGAAGUCACUCGUUCCUUUAAUUCUGAGUGUUUUGUUACAGAGACCAUUCCUGUACUCCUGUCCCCUGAGAUAUAGCUUUUUGGGGGGUUAAUUUGGUCAGAUCUAAAGUCUAUGUGAUUGUGUGAAUACAUCACAGCAUUCAAAUUCUAUCUUUGACUUUCUGCUUCUGUUCUAAUUAAAUUCUUUAUAUUUUGUUACUUAUCUAAGAGUUUGUGCUUGACUAUUUAUUAUAGUAUAUAGAUAAUAUAUUAUAUAUAUUACAUUUGAGUAUAGUACAUAAUUAUUAAUAACUUCUAAAGGAGAAGUAAAUAAUUUGUGACACCAGAGGGGCCUAACUUCAACAUCUGUAGGCACAUAGUUAAUGAAUCUGGUGCGCUGCCCUAUUUAAUCAACAUAAAGACAGGUAGGGGGCGCUACAUUAGCAAAUAAUAAUAUAUAACAGAAUAGAAUUAGAAACAAGCCAAGCAGAGCAGAACAAAGUAGAAGCAGAGCAUAACAGAAAUAGAAUAGGAGCAGAAAAUAAUAUAAGAAU